ACGGGUGUGUAACGCGUACGCAACUUGCCCUAUACAGGAGGAUAACCCGUCGAAAGACGGACUAAUACUGCGUAUGCUCACAGCUUGGCAUCAAGUGGUGAGGAAAGAAAUUCGGUAUAGGAUAGGCACGCGUCCCAUUAGCUUGUUGGUGAGGUAACGGCUCACCAAGGCGACGAUGGGUAGGGGAACUGAGAGGUUUAUCCCCCACACUGGUACUGAGACACGGACCAGACUCCUACGGGAGGCAGCAGUGAGGAAUAUUGGUCAAUGGGCGCGAGCCUGAACCAGCCAAGUCGCGUGAAGGAUGACUGUCUUAUGGAUUGUAAACUUCUUUUAUACGGGAAUAACAAGAGUCACGUGUGACUCCCUGCGUGUACCGUAUGAAUAAGCAUCGGCUAACUCCGUGCCAGCAGCCGCGGUAAUACGGAGGAUGCGAGCGUUAUCCGGAUUUAUUGGGUUUAAAGGGUGCGUAGGCGGUUUGUUAAGUCAGCGGUGAAAUCUAGAGGCUCAACCUCGAAACUGCCGUUGAAACUGGCGAACUUGAGUGUAGAUGAGGUAGGCGGAAUUCGUGGUGUAGCGGUGAAAUGCAUAGAUAUCACGAGGAACUCCGAUUGCGUAGGCAGCUUACUAAGGUACAACUGACGCUGAAGCACGAAAGCGUAUGUAUCAAACAGGAUUAGAUACCCUGGUAGUCCACGCAGUAAAC
rnacentral:rRNA from 1 species